UACGGAGGGUGCAAGCGUUAUCCGGAUUCACUGGGUUUAAAGGGUGCGUAGGUGGGUUGGUAAGUCAGUGUGAAAUCUCCGUGCUUAACAUGGAAACUGCCAUUGAUACUACUGAUCUUGAAUUUUCAGGAGGUAAGCGGAAUAUGUCAUGUAGCGGUGAAAUGCUUAGAUAUGACGUAGAACACCAAUUGCGAAGGCAGCUUACUACAGGAAUAUUGACACUGAUGCGCGAAAGCGUGGGGAUCAAACAGG
rnacentral:rRNA from 1 species